rnacentral:rRNA from 1 species
AGCGAACGCUGGCGGCAGGCUUAACACAUGCAAGUCGAGCGGGCAUCCUUGUGGUGUCAGCGGCAGACGGGUGAGUAACGCGUGGGAACGUGCCCUUCGGUUCGGAAUAACUCAGGGAAACUUGAGCUAAUACCGGAUACGUGCGAGAGCAGAAAGGUUUAUCUGCCGAAGGAUCGGCCCGCGUCUGAUUAGCUAGUUGGUGAGGUUACGGCUCACCAAGGCGACGAUCAGUAGCUGGUCUGAGAGGAUGAUCAGCCACACUGGGACUGAGACACGGCCCAGAAUCCUACGGGAGGCAGCAGUGGGGAAUAUUGGACAAUAGGGGCAACCCUGAUCCAGCCAGGCCGCGUGAGUGAUGACGGCCUUAGGGUUGUAAAGCUCUUUUCUCCGGGACGAUAAUGACGGUACCGGAGGAAUAAGCCCCGGCUAACUUCGUG